UGGGGAAUAUUGCACAAUGGGCGCAAGCCUGAUGCAGCCAUGCCGCGUGUAUGAAGAAGGCCUUCGGGUUGUAAAGUACUUUCAGUCGGGAGGAAGGUGGUAAGGUUAAUAACCUUAUCAAUUGACGUUACCGACAGAAGAAGCACCGGCUAACUCCGUGCCAGCAGCCGCGGUAAUACGGAGGGUGCAAGCGUUAAUCGGAAUUACUGGGCGUAAAGCGCACGCAGGCGGUUGAUUGAGUCAGAUGUGAAAUCCCCGGGCUUAACCCGGGAAUUGCAUCUGAUACUGGUCAGCUAGAGUCUUGUAGAGGGGGGUAGAAUUCCAUGUGUAGCGGUGAAAUGCGUAGAGAUGUGGAGGAAUACCGGUAGCGAAGGCGGCCCCCUGGACAAAGACUGACGCUCAGGUGCGAAAGCGUGGGGAGCAAACCGG
rnacentral:rRNA from 1 species